GACGAACGCUGGCGGCGUGCUUAACACAUGCAAGUCGAACGCUGAAGCUCAGCUUUUGUUGGGUGGAUGAGUGGCGAACGGGUGAGUAACACGUGAGUAACCUGCCUCCUUCUUUGGGAUAACGCCCGGAAACGGGUGCUAAUACUGGAUAUUCACUGGUCUUCGCAUGGGGGUGGGUGGAAAGGGUUUUUCUGGUGGGGGAUGGGCUCGCGGCCUAUCAGCUUGUUGGUGGGGUGAUGGCCUACCAAGGCUUUGACGGGUAGCCGGCCUGAGAGGGUGACCGGUCACAUUGGGACUGAGAUACGGCCCAGACUCCUACGGGAGGCAGCAGUGGGGAAUAUUGCACAAUGGGCGCAAGCCUGAUGCAGCGACGCCGCGUGAGGGAUGGAGGCCUUCGGGUUGUGAACCUCUUUCGCUCAUGGUCAAGCCGCAACAAUGGUUGUGGUGAGGGUAGUGGGUAAAGAAGCGCCGGCUAACUACGUG
rnacentral:rRNA from 1 species